UUGAGAGAGCGGCAGUUAAGACUUGUAGUGAUGUUUAGGUGAUGUAUUACAUGAACAUCACUUUAAGUCUGUGCUACUUCUCUCCUCAUU
rnacentral:pre_miRNA from 22 species